rnacentral:pre_miRNA from 1 species
AUCACCUGAGAAUCUUGUUAAAAUGCACAUUCUGAUUCAAUAGGUCUGGGGUGGGGCCUGAGAGUCUGCAUUUCUAAUAAGAUCCCAGGGGAUGCUGU